AUUCAACUGACAAGUCCCAAACAGGACGAAAGGGCAUCUCAAUUGGAU
rnacentral:hammerhead_ribozyme from 1 species